rnacentral:rRNA from 1 species
GAGGAGCGGCAGACGGGUGAGUAACGCGUGGGAAUCUACCGUACCCUACGGAAUAGCUCCGGGAAACUGGAAUUAAUACCGUAUACGCCCUUCGGGGGAAAGAUUUAUCGGGGUAUGAUGAGCCCGCGUUGGAUUAGCUAGUUGGUGGGGUAAAGGCCUACCAAGGCGACGAUCCAUAGCUGGUCUGAGAGGAUGAUCAGCCACAUUGGGACUGAGACACGGCCCAAACUCCUACGGGAGGCAGCAGUGGGGAAUAUUGGACAAUGGGCGCAAGCCUGAUCCAGCCAUGCCGCGUGAGUGAUGAAGGUCUUAGGAUUGUAAAGCUCUUUCACCGAUGAAGAUAAUGACGGUAGUCGGAGAAGAAGCCCCGGCUAACUUCGUGCCAGCAGCCGCGGUAAUACGAAGGGGGCUAGCGUUGUUCGGAAUUACUGGGCGUAAAGCGCACGUAGGCGGAUAAUUAAGUCAGGGGUGAAAUCCCGCAGCUCAACUGCGGAACUGCCUUUGAUACUG